rnacentral:snoRNA from 1 species
AGCUGUUAAUGAUGAUUUUGUUUAAGACAAUGGGAAUCUCUCUGAAAAAGAGUGAAGAGAACUGUUGAUCUGAUGCGGUG